rnacentral:rRNA from 1 species
AUUGAACGCUGGCGGCAUGCCUUACACAUGCAAGUCGAACGGUAACAGGUCUUCGGAUGCUGACGAGUGGCGAACGGGUGAGUAAUACAUCGGAACGUGCCCGAGAGUGGGGGAUAACGAGGCGAAAGCUUUGCUAAUACCGCAUACGAUCUCAGGAUGAAAGCAGGGGACCGCAAGGCCUUGCGCUCACGGAGCGGCCGAUGGCAGAUUAGGUAGUUGGUGGGAUAAAAGCUUACCAAGCCGACGAUCUGUAGCUGGUCUGAGAGGACGACCAGCCACACUGGGACUGAGACACGGCCCAGACUCCUACGGGAGGCAGCAGUGGGGAAUUUUGGACAAUGGGCGCAAGCCUGAUCCAGCCAUGCCGCGUGCAGGAUGAAGGCCUUCGGGUUGUAAACUGCUUUUGUACGGAACGAAAAGACUCCUUCUAAUACAGAGACUUAAUGACGGUACCUGAAGAAUAAGCACCGGCUAACUACGUGCCAGCCGCCGCAGUAAUAC